UACGUAGGGCGCAAGCGUUAUCCGGAAUUAUUGGGCGUAAAGAGCUCGUAGGCGGUUUGUCGCGUCUGCCGUGAAAUGCCGGGGCUCAACCCCGGGACUGCGUCCGAUACUCUCGAGCUGGAGGCAGGUAGGGGAGAUCGGAAUUCCUGGUGUAGCGGUGAAAUGCGCAGAUAUCAGGAGGAACACCGGUGGCGAAGGCGGAUCUCUGGGCCUUGCCUGACGCUGAGGCGCGAAAGCUAGGGGAGCGAACAGG
rnacentral:rRNA from 1 species